AUAAGUAGGGGGCGAGCGUUGUCCGGAAUGAUUGGGCGUAAAGGGCGCGUAGGCGGCGCGGUAAGUCUGGAGUGAAAGUCCUGCUUUCAAGGUGGGAAUUGCUUUGGAUACUGCCGCGCUUGAGUGCAGGAGAGGUUAUCGGAAUUCCCGGUGUAGCGGUGAAAUGCGUAGAGAUCGGGAGGAACACCAGUGGCGAAGUCGGGUAACUGGACUGCAACUGACGCUGAGGCGCGAAAGUGUGGGGAGCAAACAGGAUUAGAUACCCUGGUAGUCCACACUGUAAACGAUGAAUGCUAGGUGUAAGAGGUAUCGACCCCUUUUGUGCCGGAGUCAACACAAUAAGUAUUCCGCCUGGGGAGUACGGCCGCAAGGUUGAAACUCAAAUGAAUUGGCGGGG
rnacentral:rRNA from 1 species